rnacentral:rRNA from 1 species
AGCCUGAUGCAGCAACGCCGCGUGCGGGAUGACGGCCUUCGGGUUGUAAACCGCUUUUAGUAAGGAAGAAGGGGAGCUUGCUCCUUGACGGUACUUGCAGAAAAAGGACCGGCUAACUACGUGCCAGCAGCCGCGGUAAUACGUAGGGUCCGAGCGUUGUCCGGAAUUAUUGGGCGUAAAGAGCUCGUAGGCGGUUUGUCGCGUCUGCUGUGAAAUCCCGAGGCUCAACCUCGGGUCUGCAGUGGGUACGGGCAGACUGGAGUGCGGUAGGGGAGAAUGGAAUUCCUGGUGUAGCGGUGGAAUGCGCAGAUAUCAGGAGGAACACCGAUGGCGAAGGCAGUUCUCUGGGCCGUAACUGACGCUGAGGAGCGAAAGCGUGGGGAGCGAACAGGAUUAGAUACCCUGGUAGUCCACGCCGUAAACGUUGGGCGCUAGAUGUGGGGACCUUUCCACGGUUUCCGUGUCGUAGCUAACGCAUUAAGCGCCCCGCCUGGGGAGUACGGCCGCAAGGCUAAAACUCAAAGGAAUUGACGGGGGCCCGCACAAGCGGCGGAGCAUGCGGAUUAAUUCGAUGCAACGCGAAGAACCUUACCAAGGCUUGACAUAACCGAGAACGCCGCAGAAAUGUGGAACUCUU